UGAGGCAGGAGAAUUGCUUGAACCCAGGAAGUGGAGGUUGCAGUCAGCCGAGAUCGUGCCACUGCACUCCAGCAUGGGUGACAGAGCGAGACUCCAUCU
rnacentral:miRNA from 1 species